rnacentral:rRNA from 1 species
AAAACUUUCAACAACGGAUCUCUUGGCUCUGGCAUCGAUGAAGAACGCAGCGAAAUGCAAUAAGUAAUGUGAAUUGCAGAAUUCAGUGAAUCAUCGAAUCUUUGAACGCACAUUGCGCCCGCCAGUAUUCUGGCGGGCAUGCCUGUUCGAGCGUCAUUACAACCCUCAGGCCCCCGGGCCUGGCGUUGGGGAUCGGCGGAAGCCCCCUGCGGGCACAACGCCGUCCCCCAAAUACAGUGGCGGUCCCGCCGCAGCUUCCAUUGCGUAGUAGCUAACACCUCGCAACUGGAGAGCGGCGCGGCCACGCCGUAAAACACCCAACUUCUGAAUGUUGACCUCGAAUCAGGUAGGAAUACCCGCUGAACUUAAGCAUAUCAAUAAGCGGAGGAAAAGAAACCAACAGGGAUUGCCCCAGUAACGGCGAGUGAAGCGGCAACAGCUCAAAUUUGAAAUCUGGCUCUCGGGCCCGAGUUGUAAUUUGUAGAGGAUGCUUUUGGUGAGGUGCCUUCCGAGUUCCCUGGAACGGGACGCCAUAGAGGGUGAGAGCCCCGUCUGGUUGGACACCGAUCCUCUGUAAAGCUCCUUCGACGAGUCGAGUAGUUUGGGAAUGCUGCUCUAAAUGGGAGGUAUAUGUCUUCUAAAGCUAAAUACCGGCCAGAGACCGAUAGCGCACAAGUAGAGUGAUCGAAAGAUGAAAAGAACUUUGAAAAGAGAGUUAAAAAGUACGUGAAAUUGUUGAAAGGGAAGCGCUUGUGACCAGACUUGGGCUUGGUUGAUCAUCCGGGGUUCUCCCCGGUGCACUCUUCCGGCUCAGGCCAGCAUCAGUUCGCCCUGGGGGAUAAAGGCUUCGGGAAUGUGGCUCUCUCCGGGGAGUGUUAUAGCCCGCUGCGUAAUACCCUGUGGCGGACUGAGGUUCGCGCAUUCGCAAGGAUGCUGGCGUAAUGGUCAUCAGUGACCCGUCUUGAAACACGGACC